rnacentral:rRNA from 1 species
AGAGUUUGAUCAUGGCUCAGGAUGAACGCUGGCGGCGUGCCUAACACAUGCAAGUCGAGCGAUCUUCUUCGGAAGAGAGCGGCGGACGGGUGAGUAACGCGUGGGUAACCUGCCCUGUACACACGGAUAACAUACCGAAAGGUAUGCUAAUACGAGAUAAUAUGCUUUUAUCGCAUGGUAGAAGUAUCAAAGCUUUUGCGGUAUAGGAUGGACCCGCGUCUGAUUAGCUAGUUGGUAAGGUAACGGCUUACCAAGGCGACGAUCAGUAGCCGACCUGAGAGGGUGAUCGGCCACAUUGGAACUGAGACACGGUCCAAACUCCUACGGGAGGCAGCAGUGGGGAAUAUUGCACAAUGGGCGAAAGCCUGAUGCAGCAACGCCGCGUGAGCGAUGAAGGCCUUCGGGUCGUAAAGCUCUGUCCUCAAGGAAGAUAAUGACGGUACUUGAGGAGGAAGCCCCGGCUAACUACGUGCCAGCAGCCGCGGUAAUACGUAGGGGGCUAGCGUUAUCCGGAAUUACUGGGCGUAAAGGGUGCGUAGGUGGUUUCUUAAGUCAGAGGUGAAAGGCUACGGCUCAACCGUAGUAAGCCUUUGAAACUGGGAAACUUGAGUGCAGGAGAGGAGAGUGGAAUUCUUAGUGUAGCGGUGAAAUGCGUAGAUAUUAGGAGGAACACCAGUUGCGAAGGCGGCUCUCUGGACUGUAACUGACACUGAGGCACGAAAGCGUGGGGAGCAAACAGGAUUAGAUACCCUGGUAGUCCACGCUGUAACGAUGAGUACUAGCUGUCGGAGGUUACCCCCUUCGGUGGCGCAGCUAACGCAUUAAGUACUCCGCCUGGGAAGUACGCUCGCAAGAGUGAAACUCAAAGGAAUUGACGG